rnacentral:lncRNA from 1 species
GCUUUUCAUAUUCAGACAGUGAUCUUGAGCCAGGCGUACUUGCAGCUCUCAGAUCCAAAACAUUGUUGCUCCUUAAGGUCUCCACAACACUCAGGUUAGUCAAUUUUGUAUCGUACACCACUAAAACUUGUACUAUUUCUCCAUUUCCGUACAUGUUCUCUUUGCGACAAUAGUGCAAAAGGUUUUCCUUUGUAUCUGCUAUGUGACUGAAUGCCCUCUGUUACUCCU